AAGCAUGAGCAACCUUGGAUAGAUUUUAUAAGGAAGGAUACCUACAUUUUUUUCUAGUUGAAUGAUCUAAUCAUGAUGUUGGAACGAAGUUGACAGGUCUGAAUGCUCUAGAGAGUUCAAACUCUGAUUUGAAAUGAGCAACCAGAAAAAAGUCGCCUAUCUUAGAGAUUCACCAUAAGUGCUUAGGUACACAAACUCCUUCCAG
rnacentral:lncRNA from 1 species